ACAUGCCUAUAACAUAGCAUUAAUGCACUGGAUCCCUUUAGAACUUCACAGUUAAGUGCACUCAUGAUAGAGUAGUACUGGGAUGGGUGAUCGCAUGAGAAGUCCUGGUUUUUUACAUGCC
rfam:Picea glauca, whole genome shotgun sequence.